GUUUAACUCAGUAGCUCUAGUAUCUCUCUGAUCCUCUCCCAGAGGGUCUGAAGCUUUCAGCCUCCUGAACGGGUAAGCUCCCCCUCUAGUGUUCACUGCUCAUCAAAUUAUUCCUCCAACAAAUAAGACAGGAACUGCCUGUUUUUUGAUUCCCUAUCGAAGGACGGAGCUUGAUUACUGUUUAAUGACACAAAGAGGAAAAGAUUCCUGAAGUGAUUAAUGAGGUCAUAUAUCCUACCAGGAAAGCUAGGUGAACUUUACAAAUUAGAUCUUCCAGGCUUUGACUGCGGCUUUCAGAGACCUGUAGCUUUCACUUUCACUGUCUUGGGAUCAAGUCUUCAUGAACAGAAACUGAGGCUUAACUUAUGAAGGUGCACAUGGAGAAAGGGGCUUGAUCUGCCCCCAGCUGUCUGGCCACCAUGGAUGAAGCAUCACAUAUGUGAGUGAAGCUAUCUUGGCUUUUUUUUUCUUUUUCUAACAAUUGAGCUUCCACCUGAUAACAAUGGUGUGAGUGACCCUGAUUUAUACCGCACUGAACAGAGACUAACUGUUCACAAUAUAUUCUUGCCAAAUUUUGUAAUUGAAAGCAAUUAAUCACUAAUGUUCUAAAUGAUCUUAUUUAGAUAUAAUUUGCGUACAGUACAAUUCACCUAUUUAAAGUGUACCAUUCGAUGAAUUUUAGUAUAUUCACAGAUAAGUGCAACCUUCAUUACAGUCAAUUUUAGAACAUUUUAGUCAUCUCAAAAAGAAACUCCAUAUCCUUUAGCUAUCAUUUCCAUAUCCUCCACCUCUCUUCAGCCCUAUGCAACCACUAAUCUACUUUCUAUCUCUAUAGAUUUUCUUAUCUUAGACUUUCUUAUGAAAGGAAUCAUAUAAUACAUGGAUUUUUGUGCCUGGCUUCUUCUAUUAACAUAUUGUUUUAAAGGUUUAUUCAAGUUGUAACGUGUGAUGAAAGAAAGAAUAGCUCAGAGCAGUUUCAUCUAUGUGAGGUAUGCAAAAUUUAUCAGGCCCAGACACACAUGAUUAUGGGACUUAAGUCAUGCUCCCUACCCCCAUACUCACCC
rnacentral:lncRNA from 1 species